rnacentral:rRNA from 1 species
GAUGAACGCUGGCGGCGUGCCUAAUACAUGCAAGUCGAGCGAACAGACGAGGAGCUUGCUCCUCUGACGUUAGCGGCGGACGGGUGAGUAACACGUGGAUAACCUACCUAUAAGACUGGGAUAACUUCGGGAAACCGGAGCUAAUACCGGAUAAUAUAUUGAACCGCAUGGUUCAAUAGUGAAAGACGGUUUUGCUGUCACUUAUAGAUGGAUCCGCGCCGCAUUAGCUAGUUGGUAAGGUAACGGCUUACCAAGGCGACGAUGCGUAGCCGACCUGAGAGGGUGAUCGGCCACACGGGAACUGAGACACGGUCCAGACUCCUACGGGAGGCAGCAGUAGGGAAUCGUCCGCAAUGGGCGAAAGCCUGACGGAGCAACGCCGCGUGAGUGAUGAAGGUCUUCGGAUCGUAAAACUCUGUUAUUAGGGAAGAACAAAUGUGUAAGUAACUAUGCACGUCUUGACGGUACCUAAUCAGAAAGCCACGGCUAACUAC